GGUGAGAUGGAGAAUCGGUGAAGACGUCUUGGGCUUCUAUAUGGGUUUCUACUAUUUUUGUGGAACGGAGGAAAACUGAGCAGGAGACUGACUGAGUGGCUUUACAUCAAGAAAAAGUCUGCAGAUGUUGUAAAUUUUCAGCUUGCCAGAGGAUGAACCAAAUCUGGCAGUCGAGGCAAUGCAAUGACCGUGUCUCUACAAAUUCCUUCUAUCAACAGCAUCUUGCGGGUUACCAUCCUUACUCCCUGUCUUUCCAAUCUUACUGCUUCACAGUUCGAGCAGCAGUGGCUGUUAACAGCUUGACCCGUCUGAAGUAAACUAUGAAGGAAGCCUGCAAGUCGUUAGUAUAAUAGAGACUGCUAGCUGUUCCUCCAGGAAAGAAAGAUCUUGUACCUUGAAUGAAAG